rnacentral:misc_RNA from 1 species
GUAUUGAUUGCGGGUUAGCGCAUAAAUGAGGUCAUUCUACACUUUUUAAAAGGGGUGUUUGUGUGAAAACGUGAGCCCUCCUGCAAAGGGGGGACCCGCGCGGUGAUGCACAAAGGGGUGAGAUGGAUUUUGUGUGAGAGCGCUCAGGCGUGCACGACCUUUGGAGGUCAGCGACAGCCCUCGCACCUCGGUUGUACGAUAAUGAUCCUUCCGCAGGUUCACCUACGGAAA